rnacentral:rRNA from 1 species
GGAGUCUGGACCGUGUCUCAGUUCCAAUGUGGGGGACCUUCCUCUCAGAACCCCUAGCCAUCGUCGGUUUGGUGGGCCGUUACCCCGCCAACUGCCUAAUGGCACGCGAGCCAAUCCGGGAUCAAUGAAUCUUUCAACAUAUCAACAUGCGAUGACAUGUGUUAUGGGGUAUUACACAUCGUUUCCAAUGACUAUCCCCCUCUCCCGGGUAUGUUGCUCACGCGUUACUCACCCUUUCGCCGGUCGCCGACAGGUAUUGCUACCCUCGCUGCCCCUCGACUUGCAUGUGUUAAGCCUGCCGCUAGCGUUCAUC